CAGGUGAGUAACACGUAUCCAACCUGCCGUCUACUCUUGGCCAGCCUUCUGAAAGGAAGAUUAAUCCAGGAUGGCAUCAUGAGUUCACAUGUCCGCAUGAUUAAAGGUAUUUUCCGGUAGACGAUGGGGAUGCGUUCCAUUAGAUAGUAGGCGGGGUAACGGCCCACCUAGUCAACGAUGGAUAGGGGUUCUGAGAGGAAGGUCCCCCACAUUGGAACUGAGACACGGUCCAA
rnacentral:rRNA from 1 species